rnacentral:rRNA from 1 species
GACGAACGCUGGCGGCGUGCUUAACACAUGCAAGUCGAACGGUAAGGCCCUUUUGGGGGUACACGAGCGGCGAACGGGUGAGUAACACGUGGGUGACCUGCCCUCAGCUCUGGGAUAAGCCUGGGAAACUGGGUCUAAUACUGGAUAUGACCUUUCCUCGCAUGGGGUUGGGUGGAAAGUUUUUCGGCUGGGGAUGGGCCCGCGGCCUAUCAGCUUGUUGGUGGGGUGAUGGCCUACCAAGGCGACGACGGGUAGCCGGCCUGAGAGGGCGACCGGCCACACUGGGACUGAGACACGGCCCAGACUCCUACGGGAGGCAGCAGUGGGGAAUAUUGCGCAAUGGGCGGAAGCCUGACGCAGCGACGCCGCGU